rnacentral:lncRNA from 1 species
GAGUCAGGGCCGGACUUGCAGCAGGCCGGAGGCUGGGAGAAUAACACAGAAACACGGAGGGUGCUGGGGCCCAGUUCUUCAGGACUCAAAACACUCUCUGUAGAUGCACAGCACAGGCCCUUUCAGCUGCAACCAAGAGCCUCUCUAGGGAGCUGGACUACAGAUACCACAAGGGCAAGUCCUGCUUAUCUUAUUUCUUCAUCCUAAAUUUGUUCAUUUGACCAACUCUGGCACUCCAGACUGCAUGCCCUGAGGUCUAAAGGCCAGCAAUUCUGGGCUGUGGCCCUCUGGUAGCCCUCCAUCCAAUGGGGAGGCCAGCGAGUAAACAAUUCGGUGGAACAUCAUGCCACAAUGACACAGCGCAGUGAGUGCCAUCCUGCGGUGAGCAAGGGAGGGGCCUCUCCUUCCAUCCUGGGUGGGGGAGGGAGGUUAACAGGAGGAGCUUCCAAGAAGUGGCACUUGAGAUGACAAGCCAGGUGGGCAUCCCAGGCAGAGAGCACAGCAGAGGCAAAGGCUGGGAGGCCUAAGAAUACCCAGACACUUCCAGAAGGGAGGGAAUAGGGGGGUCUCCCAGGAUCUGCCCUGCGGCUUUGCACCAGGCAAGGGCUCAGGACAUGCACAGAAAGAUACUCAUAUCUUGCCUUGCACAAAGUUGUUUUUUUUUUUUUUUUUUGAGAUGGAGUUUCACUCUUUUUGCCCAGGCUGGAGUGCAAUGGCACAAUCUCGGCUCACCGCAACCUCCGCCUCCCGGGUUCAAGCUAUUCUUCUGCCUCAGCCUCCCGAGUAUCUGGGAUUACAGGCAUGUGCCACCACCCCGGCUAAUUUUGUAUUUAUAGUAGAGAUGGGGUUUCUCCACGUUUGUCAGGCUGGUUGGUCUUGAACUCUCGACCUCAGGUGAUCCACCUGCCUCGGCCUCCCAAAGUGCUGGGAUUACAGGCGUGAGCCACCGUGCCCAGCCGCACACAGGUUGUUUUAAAAUGAAAACCAGAGACCCAGCAGGUGUUCGCCAUGACACAGUCUCAGCCACCUUAAGAAGCUGCAGCUGGAAACAGCCAAAAGCUCACCCUGCCGGCACGGACAGGGAAACUGAAGCCACAAGAGGGGAAGUGAGACCCCUAGAACCCAGGCCCCUCACCCUUCCCCAGCAGGUUUGGAAAUAGCCAUCCUUCAGGGACAGGGGACUGAGAAACUCUAAACACACCCAAGACUGCCUGCAGGUCACUCUCUGAUUAGCGGAGGUGAGUGGUUGCAAGCUGUCUGUCACAUCCAGCCUGCCACGUGGUUUUGUGCAGCUUGUGAGCUAAGAAUGGUGGUUACAUUUUUAAGUGGUUGGAAAAUGUUUUGUGAUGCAUAAAAACUGUGCGAAAUUCGAGAUUCCGUUUUCAUAAAGUUUUCUUGGGACACAGCCACACUAAUUGGUGUAAACAUAUUGUCUCUGGCUGCUUUCACGUUGCAGCGGCAGAGUUGAAUAGUUUCAUCACCUGCAAAGCCUCACAACACAAACGCUUAACGUUUCCUGAGCCUGUGGUCAAUGCCAGACCCUGUGGUAGGUGCUUUGCAUACAUCAGCUCAUAUAAUCCUCGAAGCUGCCUUUAGAAAUGAGGAAACUGAAGCUGAGAGGGAGAAUGUGCCUUGCUCAAGGGCACACAGAGUAAUGGCAGAGCCAGGACUCAAGUCCAGGCACAUGAAAUAAUGUUCUUGAUCUUAACCCCUAGCCUGGGAUGGUGCAGGCUGAACGGUGAGCUCCAGCACAUCAGCAAUUACUAUAUGUAAGGAAAAAGGAGUAGCUUAGCAGCAGGUAAGCUAUUUCUUCUGUGUGUGUGUAAUAGGGUCUUGCUCUGUGGCCUAAUCUGGAGUGCAGUGGCGUGGUCAUAGCUCACUGCAGCCUCAAACUCCUGGUCUCAAGCAAGCAAUCCUCCUGCCUCAGCCUCCCCAGUAGCUGUUACAGGAGCACACCACCACGCCCAGCUCCAAGUAAUCUAUUUCAAGGUGAGACUUGAGCAGUGAAAUUUCCUUCUCAGAGGAGCAAAUAUUGCUAAGAUAAAUCUGGUGUAUGUCGUCUGUGUGAAGACCAUAAAACCACACUUCACCGCACCUGACAUCUGUGAGAGUCAAAGACUCAAAGUGAAUAUGUUUCUGCUUCUAGGAAUGAAGCCCAAGAAAAAUACUCCAAGUUGCCUUCCAAGAUUGAAGCAAUGAUAUCUGAGGUGAGAGAAAUAUUGGGAAAAAACACAGACUCCCCUACUACAGAAACCUGUCCCUUGAUGGAAUGUGACGCAGGCAUGAAAGUUAUAUUUAUACUGAAUGCUUAUAAAGCACUCAAGACCUGUUAGGUAGAAAAGAGAGGGCACAGAAGUAUAUAAACAGCAUAAUUCAAGUGUGCUUGCAUGCUGAGAGGACAGACUGAAAGAAAUGCUGACGGUGCCUAUCUCUGGGUGGCAUAAUUAUUAAUGCCCCUUUCCUUUUAAAUAUAUUUUCUUUUCUAUAUUUGUAUAUAGAAAAAAUGUAUAUAAUGAUGUCUAUUUUACUUUUUUUUCUUUUUUUUUUUUUUUUUUUUUUUUUUUUUGAGACAGAGUCUCACUCUGUCGCCCAGGCUGGAGUGCAGUGGCACGAUCUCAGCUCACUGAAACCUCUGCCUCCUGGGUUCAAGUGAUUCUCCUGCCUCGGCCUUCCUAGUAGCUGAGAUUACAGGUGCUCACUACCAUGGCCUGCUAGUUUUUGUAUUUUUAGUAGAGACGGGGUUUUGCCAUGUUGGCCAGGCUAGUCUCAAGCUCCUGGCCUCAAGUGAUCCACCGGCCUCCACCUCCCAAGGUGCUGGGAUUACAGGCAUGAGCCAUCAUGCCUGGUCUACUACUUUGUUUAAUUGUUACAACUGCCUCAUGAGGUAGGUACUAUUAGUAUCCCCAUUUUGUAGAUUAAAAAAAAUGUUCCAGAGAGGUUAAGAAACUCGCCUAAGGUCACAGAGCUAGUAAGUGGCAAAGCCAGAGUCUGAACCUAGGGUGUCCUAUGAAAGAGCCUGCAUUCAAUCACAAUAAAUAUUGGUUCAAUAUAUAAGUGAUUCCAGCUCCUCCUUGCAGACCUUGCCUGCUGUGAUUGGUCUAAGAGGACCCAGUUCUCCCCACCUCCUCGCAACACCGUGUGAGCCUGCUUGGGGUGUGGAGCAGGAAUUGCAAUCAGCAAAGCCAGUGGGUGUUAGGUUCCUCUCUACACUGGAGCCCAGUAGUGGGCUAGCCUAGGAAGCAAGAGCUGUUUAUGGGUCUUCUGAGAAAAAUGUGCUCCUGGUUGUAACUAACUGCCUGCUACUGUUGGAACAGCCCCAUGUUAAAGCAAAAACAUGGCUCAUUGGGCCCCUACUUGGAGCUCUCUUACAAGUGGAUCCUGAGCAACUAGAGAUUUGGUAUUCAAACAAACAACCUAUAACCUCUUUAUACUUAAAUGAUCAUCCGUGCACUAAAUUCAGUCUUCCUUCCAUUCGCUGAUGGAUGAAAAUGCCUGCAGCCUCAUGGUGGUCCCCAGUCCCCAGAGGCAACACCACAGCCUGUACAGCUGCAUGUGUGCAGUGGUCUAUUUAAUUGCGUUUUGCUUCUUUGUUGUUUCGGGGUGGGGAACUGUUCCCACCAGUGACAAGCACAGCUGUAAUAAAGCCUCAUAUUAUAGAGACAAAGAGAGGAAGGCUUGGAGGCUUGGGUGCCAAAAGCCAGCGCAACUUAGCUUCAGCCUGGUAUUUACCAAGCUUAGGUUGGUCAACAGUACAGUUAUUAAAGAAAAUGAAAAAUUAAACAUUUGUGGAAUCCUGAACAUAUGUGGCUAGGCAAGGACUAUAACUGACAGGCCAGGUAUAGCCUGAGAUUUUAUAAUCUAUGUGUAACUUGUCAGGAACUGUUAUCCCUCCCCGACCAGGUGCUGGCUUCCUAUGCAAACCUGUGUCCGCUUCCCUAAAAAUGGGGAAAACAGGGGUGACGUCGCUUAUAGAAUCCCACCUCCCUUGCCAGUGGUCACUGUCCCUCCAAGGAAACUGAGGCUCCCUGGUGGCGCAGGAGGGCACAGGCGGACCGGAGCCCAGCCAGACUGCAAAGCCCAUUAAAAGCCUGUUCCUUCCUCCGAGGAAAGCAAGAGUCUUGCUGGUUGUGCCGCUUGUUUCUCAGGGCAGUGGUCUUUUCAGUUUACUCACAAUGGGACCUUUUGUUCGAAUGAAAGCAACGGUCUCAUGAAAUAGAAUAAGAACAGAGCUGCUCGCAAGCAAGGCCCAGAAGGGAGGAGGGGAAGUCACGCCCAGCUGCCUGCCCUCCCCCGUUCCCCUGCUGCUAGGGGGGCUCACGGGCUACAGCUUGCUGAUUUGAAUCAUCCAAAGGGGAAAUGGUCCACUGUGGGCCUGCUCCAGCCAGGAUUCAAUUCCCUUUCUCAAAUGGGAACAGAGCUCUGGGGAGUUCACUUUCGGCCCCAGAUUUUCGCUGCCAAUCUGGGCGGCACUAGGAACCAGUUUCUGGGCUGGAGACUGCAGCAUGAAGCCAUUCCUCCAGAGUGGAAGAAAACAGGGGCUCCCCAGCUCACUGGGUCUGCUUGGGCUGGGGGUAGCCAGCGCUGCUGGUCCCAGACCUGGAAGGCCAGAGGGCAAACAAAUGUUAGAAAUGUACUCCAGACUCCGUGAUUCUUCCCCAGAGGGUAGUGGCUGAAGGAAUCCAUGCCUCUGGCAGACAUCCUCAAUCACCUGGCCUCAAAGACCCCUGGGAAGGGGUCUUUAGGGGAGAGACCUUGGUGUUGUUUGAGGAGGCCAGGGGCCUGGCAAUAGGAGUCCUGGGAUAUUUUGUGGAAUUUAAGAUCAGAAAUAAAGCUGGACCUUAGGCAUGGACUCGGGGAGCUACAGGGACCCAGAAGCCCUUUCUUCAUCACUGUGUAUCUGCUCUGCCUGCGUGGUCCCUGGCUUCCCCAACUCCCAGGCCCCCAUAAAGGAAAACCCAGAUCUGAUGCCACUGAUGGUGGCUCCAAGGGGCUCAUAGGUCACCUGGAGUUGACUGUGCUCCGGGACAGUCUUAUUCUGUGAGCAAAGUACCGCUGGGCGGAUAAUGCAAUAUGUGCUCCCAUCCCAGAUAAUGUCUACAUUUUCAACUAUUCAGUCUUUCAGUAAGUACUGAUUGGCACAUCAUGCCAGAUUCUGGGGAUCCUGGUGAAGGAAACCAGUGCCUGUCCUCAUGCGGCUUAUAUUCAAUUCAGGGAAGACACUCAAAACUCCAAUGAGAUGAUAGAUCAGCUAUCAGUGCUACUAAGGUGCUACGGGCACUAUUUACAUAUGGGGGUCAGGUGAAGUGCUGGGAAGGGCAGACACUGGAGGUGGGGAAAGGAUGGGCACUCCCGAGAGAACAGCACCUGCGAAGCUCAGGGGUAGAAGGCCUCCUGAACACAAGAGAACAUCAGGAGAGGAUGAGGGGCGGCAGGGCAGGCAACACGGGGCCUCCUAAGCCAGUGGUGAGGAUUUAGUUUUUAUUCUGAGUGGGAUGGGAAACCAUGGAGGGUUUGAAGCCUUAGACACAGGGGUCAAUGAGCUUUUUCUUAAAGGGCUACACAGUAAAUAUUUUAGGCUUUGUGGCCAUACGAUCUCUGUUGCAGCUACUCAACUCUUCAAGUAUAGAGCAAAAGCAGCCACAGACAAGGCACAGUGUGUUCCAAUAAGCUUUACUGAUGGACACUGAAAUUUGAAUUUCAUAUCAUUUUUACUUGUCACUAAAUAUUGUUUUUUCCCCCAACCAUUUAAAAAUGUAAAAAGCCUUCUUAGCUUGUGGGCUACACAGAAGCUUCCGGCAGGUUGGAGUUAGCCCAUGGGCCUUAGCAUGUCUUCCCCCACCUUGAUACCUGAAAAGGUGACUAUGGCUGCAGCUCUGAGAACAGAUUCAAGUGGGUGGGGGAAGCUGGGUUAGGAAGCUGUGACUGUUAACCUUGUCAACUUGACUGGGCAAUGGCGUGCCCAAAUAUCUGGUCACGCGUUACCCUGGGUGUGUCUGUGAGGGUUUUCUGGAUGAAAUGAACAUUUGAAUCUGUGGGUUGAGUAAAGCAGGUUGCUCUCUCUGGUGUGGGUGGGUGGAUCCAUUCAGUUGAGGGCCUGAAUAGAACAAAAAGGCUGAGUAAUAAGGAAUUCCUUGCAGGCGUGUGGCUCAUGCCUGUAAUUCUAGCACUUUGGGAGGCCGAGGUGGGAGGAUCACCUGAGGUCAGGAGUUUAAGACCAGCCUGGCCAACAUGGGGAAACCCCAUCUCUACUAAAAAUACAAAAAUUAGCCAGGCGUGGUGGCGCAUGCCUGUAGUCCCAGCUACUUGGGAGGCUGAGGCAGGAGAACUGCUUGAACCCAGGGGGUGGAGGCUGCAGUUAGCCAAGAUCGUGCCACUGCAUUCCAGCCUGGGCGACAGAGUGAGAGACUCCAUCUCAAAAAAAAAAAAAAAAAAAAAAAGGAAUUACUCCUGCCUGCCUUCAAGCUGGGACAUCAGUUUUUAGCUGCUUUCCAAUCUGAACUGAAAAACUCAGCUCUCCUGGGUCUCUCUGGUUUGUUGACUGCAGAUCUUGGAGCUUAGCAGCCUCCAUAAUCAUGAGUCAAUUCCUUAAAUACAUCCCGAUCUCUCUCUCUCUUCCCCCACGCAGACCCUAUUGGUUCUCUUCUUCUGGAGAACGCUAAUAGAGAGGCUCUGUCCACGCAGAAAUGAUGGGAGCACAGGCUGGGGGAGUCACCGGGCAGGUGUGAGAAGUAGCUGGGAUAUGGAUGCACUGUGAAACCAGAGCCUGGGUGUGGGAUACGCAAGAAGAGAUGGGAGUCAAGGAGGCUCAGAGGUGGAAGAGCAUGAACUUCCUCCUGUAGACAAAAGGGAUAAUCACUUGUGUCUCCUUCAGAGACCUUGACAGAAAACAUCACUCUAGAAGCAAAACAGGGAACAGGCGGUUGGAGGCAGAGAAACCAGCUACAAGGCUGUUCGGACACUAGACUGUUAUCUACAUGGGGAGGCACCUGGCAGGUGGCCAGAUCCCCAGAUGGAAUCUCCACCUUGUGGUUUAUGAGGCAUUCUAGGCCACUGCCUCCUGAAGACACUGCUCAGGGUGGUAAGAACUCAUUUUGCAUUUGGGGAGCUGUAGGUGGGGAUGGUGAUAAGCAGCCCAGGAUUUUGUUCGCCAAGAGGUAUUAUUCCAACUUCCACAACCCAAAUAGCAUCUCUGCACGGAAAUGAAGCUGCAACAGCUCCCUGUCAUGGAUGGGGCACUUCCCAGUUCUCAGACUUCAUCACUAGAGCCCCCAAGCUUGGAUGUUGUUGCUGAACUCCCUCAAGGCACUAAGUGUUAGCCUGAGCACCUCUCCUGGCUGGACCAGGGGUCACUUGCUCCAUUACAGUUCUCUCCAGCUCGGUGACACUCUCACUGUAAAUGCAAGUUCUCACUCAGUGAAUGCCAAGACGAAUGCAACCCUACCUAGUGGGGUAGAGAUUAGGAAAUGGGCGAUGAGAGGCACAGGGCUCUUGGGAAGGGAGCCCUGCUGCUGGGGGCCUGAGAGACACCCAGUGGAGAGGAGCCUGGACAAACUUGGCAACCAGCCCCAACCACGUUCCGCAGCAUUUUGGGGGCCAGGCACCCUGUGUGUGAUCCCUUUCCACUGUAACCAGGCCUGCUCCCUGCUCUUCCCCUCGGAGACACAGAUGACUGCUCCUCUCUGGCAGCCCAAAGCUUUCUCUGCCCCCACAACUGCCUGGGGGCCUUUGAGCCACUUCUCCCCAGUUCUGUUCCAAACCCACCAGGAAGUCCUUCCCCAAAAGUCCACUUACUCUUUGAGAUCAGUGUGAGGAAGCUACUCUAAGAACAAAACUAAGCACCCGGUGGUGAGUGCCCAAGCUCAAGUGUGCAGAUUUUUUCUGACAGCAGAAUAGACCUGUCUACUUGCCUUCCAAGUUGAGUCCUGAAGUGGGUAACUUCCUCCUCUGACUUCUGCCCUCAGGCUCCCUGGGCAACGGCCCUGACGUUGCUUUCUAGCCCCUCACCAUGAAGCCUGUCAGGGAGCCGCGUGCCUCACCCUCUAUCUGCCCCUCACUAAACUCAGGAUCCUAAAAUCUGCCCUCUUACCCAUUUUCGUUCACAUGAAUUAAACUCCAACUACAAUGAAUUUGAAGGAUCCCAUCUGCCUCUCUAAACUCACCCCCCUCCACAUUUCAGCCAAUCCAACCAACUCAGCAGUCACCUUAUCCUCAAGGAUCUUGGGAUGCGCAGUAAUUCCCAUCUCCCACCCAGCCCUCCUGACACUCGCCACAGGGGAACUUUCAGCCGGCACACCACGGCCAGUGUCGCCUAGCGAACACACCCCCCCCCACCCCACACCCCAAAGUUCGAAGUUGAGAAUAAGCCAUUUGCUGGUGGACUCGGUUCCCACAGGAGGGAUGAGGACAGCUGCCAUCUGCACAUCAGCUGCCUAGGACUUAACAUUUCACACGUCACGUUUCAAAUAGAGGCAGCAGCUGCAGCUGAGAUGAAGCAUAUCAAAGUAUACUUAGCCCUUACUAUAUUGGAAGAAAACGUAUUUCCCAGUUCCGAUGACCUUUGUUUUCUGCCAUAUUAAAGUCUUACGUAAUUUAAUUUUUAUAUAGCCAAUCUGUCUUUUCCUUUGUGAUGUAUUCCAUUGCUUUAGGGCUUACAUUUUUUCUAGUCUGAAGUGUAGAUUAAAAGGGACUUACUUUCUUCUAAAUAGAAAAAGAAAAGGUUUUAUUUUAACUGUGGACUCCAUUAAGAAUGUAUAUUGGUGUCCCUGCUGCCCCCACAGCUAACCAAAUGUUGCUGCACCAUUUCAAACAUCUCCACUGAUUUAUGCUUAUCUUAAUAAUUAUUAACUUAUCACUAAUACAUUAAUUUUAAUAAUGCCUUUCUGGGAAUAAAUACAUUUAUAGGAAAUUUCUAAAUUCAGAAAAAUAGGAUUAAAUAGAAAUUACACACAACUUUACCUCCCUAUAGCAAUAACAACAUUUCUGGUAUUUAUUCUACACAUAAGUAUACAUUGUAUAUGCAUAUAUCCUUUAAAAAGUUUGUCACAAGCCAUCUGUUCGGGGUUGGUUUUACAUAUCUGUAUUAGGAAACCUACACCUCUCACUAGAAGUUCUGGUCCUGAAUGUUCUUAUGAGGUCCAAUGGACUUCACUUUCUUCCCCAUUUUACUUCUGAAUGGAUUAGCCAACUAACAUCAUUUACUGCAGAGUGACUCCAUGGGGUAGAGAGCUGAUGAGAAUUACUUUGUAAACACACUUUUUAUGCUGACAUCAGCAACACAGUUCACUGUAGGGCUCUUGGCAUACACAGAAAAAAGUUGGUAGUGACAUCCAGCACCCAGAAAUAAUAUACUUUCAUGUUUCAACCUAGGUAGGUAUAUAUUUUAAACCCAAGUUGGAAUUGACUUUAUUUUACUAUUUUUUUAAUGUUUCCUAUUCAAUACUCUUUUUAAAUGACUUUAAAUAAUGGAACAGAAUUAUAACAUAUGGAUAUGACAAGUAACUUACUGACCCCCUUCUGCAGAGUUGAUUUUACUCUUCUAAUUCCUGAAUAUACCUCCCACUAGUUCCCUGGGACAAAAUUUCCAAAGGUGAGAAUCUUGGGUCUUAAGAAAACCUUUAAGGCUUUUGAUCCACUUGCCAGACUGCCCUCUGGAAAGGCUGUCCACCCCGCACAUACCCGCUUUUCGCAGGAGAGGACUGCCACCCCUACAUUCUUUGGCAAGGGACUUCUUUUUAACGAAUAAAAGAGCACAAAGGGCACUGUCCGGCCUGGACAUCAAGGGUUGCCCGUCUGAAGCAGGAAAGGCGUGCCCUUGACGGUGACUCAUGUCCGUGACCCACUGCCAGCACUGGGAUACUUAAUGUGCCCGCAGAAAGAGAAGGGCCCACUUAGAGUUAACAGAUUCUUAAGAGCCAACAAAGAGUUUUUCUGGGUGUAGAAUACCAAGUACAGCAAGGGAAGUGACCUUGAAAAAAAAAAUGGAAGUUCCCCCCAGACGAGGUCUGGCUGGCUGUCUGGGGCCAGCAUGCUGACCUUCAGGUCUUCUGGCAAAGAAUCAAGGUGGCCCGAGUGAGAAAACAAGUUAGUCAUAAACAGACCACCACGCGUCUCCUGGCUGACUGCGGGCACCUCGGGUCUACAGAGAGCCCUGCCAACUUCUACUUCCUGCAGCCACGAGUGGACCAAGAACAUGGCAGCCAUUCUUCUCAUAGACUAAAGCAACUUUAAGAUAAGGCAUUUGAGGAAGGGGAGCUUUAUGCUGACCAUUCAUCAUAUUCAGAAAAAGCAAACAGUGGGAAAUUCUUUGCUACAAUCACUGAAAUGUCACGAGACAAUGUCAUAGUGCGAAAGGGAAGCCCUGCAAUUCAACUGACCCUGGAAGCCUGCUGGAAUAAAAGUCACAGCUGAGCCAAGAGAAUUUUGCUUCUAUUGAAGAAAAAGUGCUUUCAAAGACUCUGUCAGAAAAUCAACUCAUAAUAGUAACAGUAGCGGCCAUGCAGCGAGGGUUGUUUGUGUGGCCACACAGGUAUUCCUCUCAUCUGAACUACAUGGAAUUAUCAUCCUCCUUUCAAGAAAAGGGACUCAGAAGGAUUAGGAACCCCAUCCCAGGACACACCGCUGGCAAAGGUCUGAGGCAGGAUCCAAAGGCUCAGGUCUGCUGGAAGCCAAAACACAGUGCUUGACUGGCUUGGAGACCUCACUUGUACUUGAACUGAGCCACCCACACGCGCUUCCCCUGUACUUACCCCCGGAGAGGAGUAUGGCACCGUGCUCGUCCACCAAAGUCAGAGAAGCUAUGUCAGGCAGAGAGGUGGGGGCUGCCUCACAGACAGCCAAGGCGUGAAAUAAACACAAACACCAUUUUGUAAUCAAUGAUUUUUAUCUCUGAAAAUGGAAGCAAGUGUUUUGACAGAACACUAUGGCCACUCUAUAAGAGCCGAC